UACGUAGGUCCCGAGCGUUGUCCGGAUUUAUUGGGCGUAAAGCGAGCGCAGGUGGUUUAUUAAGUCUGGUGUAAAAGGCAGUGGCUCAACCAUUGUAUGCAUUGGAAACUGGUAGACUUGAGUGCAGGAGAGGAGAGUGGAAUUCCAUGUGUAGUGGUGAAAUGCGUAGAUAUAUGGAGGAACACCGGUGGCGAAAGCGGCUCUCUGGCCUGUGACUGACACUGAGGCUCGAAAGCGUGGGGAGCAAACAGG
rnacentral:rRNA from 1 species